GGGGAUGUAGCUCAGUGGUAGAGCGCUUGCCUAGCAAGCGCAAGGCCCUGGGUUCGGUCCCAGCUCCG
rnacentral:tRNA from 1 species